rnacentral:rRNA from 1 species
ACUCAAAUGAAUAGACGGGGACCCGCACAAGCGGUGGAGCAUGUUGUUUAAUUCGAAGCAACGCGAAGAACCUUACCUACACUUGACAUACCUCUUGGGGCUUUCAGAGAUGAUUGCUUUCGGUUCGGCCGGGGAGAGUACAGGUGCUGCAUGGCUGUCGUCAGCUCGUGUCGUGAGAUGUUGGGUUAAGUCCCGCAACGAGCGCAACCCUUAUCGUAUGUUGCCAGCAUUUAGUUGGGCACUCAUGCGAGACUGCCGGUGAUAAGCCGGAGGAAGGCGGGGAUGACGUCAAGUCAUCAUGGCCCUUACGUGUAGGGCUACAAACGUGCUACAAUGGCGGUGACAAUGGGCAGCAAAGUCGUGAGGCUAAGCUAAUCCCUAAAAGCCGUCUCAGUUCAGAUUGUAGUCUGCAACUCGACUACAUGAAGUUGGAAUCGCUAGUAAUCGUGAAUCAGCAUGUCACGGUGAAUACGUUCCCGGGUCUUGUACACACCGCCCGU